UGUAACACCGGUUCUCGUACGAUCACAGAAGUUAAGCAAUGUUAAGCCUGCUCAUUACCUAGAUGGGUGACCGCUUAGGAAUACCUGGUGCUGUAAU